GGGAGACGCAAAGCGCGCGCACGUGUUUGAUUGCAGGCUGUAAGUGAAUUUGUGGUUUCGUACGCGUCUGCCCAGCCAGACUGUAUGCCCAUCUUGGAGCACACCGGGUCAAACCUGUCAAAACGGCCAUGGCAUGACAAGACGCUGACCUCUCUGCUAAGAUUGCUGCAAAGAGCUUCUUGAAAAUGAUGGGCCUGAGAGCAGCAAUGGACUCAGAUGUGUUUGGAGUCUUAUUGCAGCCGUGGUGCUGCCGAGUUAAAGAAGUUCUC